rnacentral:rRNA from 1 species
CCUGGCUUAGGAUGAACGCUAGCGACAGGCCUAACACAUGCAAGUCGAGGGGCAGCACAAGGAGCAAUCUGAGGUGGCGACCGGCGCACGGGUGAGUAACACGUAUGCAACCUGCCUGUAAGCGGGGAAUAACCCGUUGAAAGACGGACUAAUACCGCAUAAUACUAAAUUACUGCAUGGUAAUUUAUUUAAACAUUUAUGGCUUACAGAUGGGCAUGCGCAUGAUUAGCUAGUUGGAGAGGUAACGGCUCCCCAAGGCAACGAUCAUUAGGGGUUCUGAGAGGAAGGUCCCCCACACUGGUACUGAGACACGGACCAGACUCCUACGGGAGGCAGCAGUGAGGAAUAUUGGUCAAUGGACGAGAGUCUGAACCAGCCAAGUCGCGUGCAGGAAGAAUGUCCCUAUGGAUUGUAAACUGCUUUUGCAGGGGAAUAAAGUGCAUCACGUGUGAUGUUUUGUAUGUACUCUGCGAAUAAGGAUCGGCUAACUCCGUGCCAGCCGCGGC